GACGAACCGAGCGAACGUUGUUCGGAAUCACUGGGCUUAAAGGGCGCGUAGGCGGGUGCUCAAGUCCGGGGUGAAAUCCUCCAGCUCAACUGGAGAACUGCCUCGGAUACUGGGCGUCUCGAGUGUGGUAGGGGUAUGCGGAACUAUCGGUGGAGCGGUGAAAUGCGUUGAUAUGUGUCGGAACACCAAUGGCGAAAGCAGUCUUCUGGACGCAAACUGACGCUGAGAUACGAAAGCCAAGGUAGCAAACAGG
rnacentral:rRNA from 1 species